GCCUACGGGAGGCAGCAGUGGGGAAUGUUGGGCAAUGGGCGAAAGCCUGACCCAGCAACGCCGCGUGUGUGAUGAAGGCCCUCGGGUCGUAAAACACUUUUCUGAGGAAUGAGAAAGGACAGUACCUCAGGAAUAAGUCUCGGCUAACUACGUGCCAGCAGCCGCGGUAAAACGUAGGAGACGAGCGUUAUCCGGAUUUACUGGGCGUAAAGCGUGUGCAGGCGGUUCGGCAAGUUGGAUGUGAAAUCUCCCGGCUCAACUGGGAGAGGUCGUUCAAAACUACCGAACUUGAGGUCAUCAGAGGAAAGUGGAAUUCCGGGUGUAGUGGUGAAAUGCGUAGAUAUCCGGAGGAACACCAGUGGCGAAGGCGGCCUUCUGGGAUGAUCCUGACGCUCAGACACGAAAGCUGGGGGAGCAAACGGGAUUAGAUACCCGUGUAGUCUU
rnacentral:rRNA from 1 species